rnacentral:rRNA from 1 species
GCUAAGAAUAUUCCGCAAUGGACGAAAGUCUGACGGAGCGACGCCGCGUGGAUGACGAAGGCCGAAAGGUUGUAAAGUCCUUUUGUUGGGGAAGAAUAAGCGCGGGAGGGAAUGCCCGCGUGAUGACAUGAACCGACGAAUAAGCCCCGGCUAACUACGUGCCAGCAGCCGCGGUAACACGUAGGGGGCGAGCGUUGUUCGGAAUUACUGGGCGUAAAGGGCAUGUAGGCGGCCUUGUAAGCCUGGCGUGAAAGUCACCGGCUCAACCGGUGGAUUGCGUCGGGAACUGCAGGGCUUGAGUCACGGAGAGGGAGCUAGAAUUCCUGGUGUAGGGGUGAAAUCUGUAGAGAUCAGGAAGAAUACCAAUGGCGAAGGCAAGCUCCUGGCCGAUGACUGACGCUGAGGUGCGAAAGUGUGGGGAUCAAACAGGAUUAGAAACCCCAGUAGUCC